UACGGAGGGUGCAAGCGUUAAUCGGAAUUACUGGGCGUAAAGCGUGCGCAGGCGGUUUGUUAAGUCUGUUGUGAAAGCCCCGGGCUCAACCUGGGAACUGCGUUUGGUACUGGCAAGCUAGAGUACGGCAGAGGGGGGUGGAAUUCCACGUGUAGCAGUGAAAUGCGUAGAGAUGUGGAGGAACACCGAUGGCGAAGGCAGCCCCCUGGGCCGAUACUGACGCUCAGGCACGAAAGCGUGGGGAGCAAACAGG
rnacentral:rRNA from 1 species